AUUCCAUAACUAUCUAAUACCGACGGAAUUCUCACGACGUGUUCCAACAUCGAAGAUCUUCAAGCUGGUAAAACACCUCCGAAAUUCACCUGUCACAUAACCGCCACCUCGUACAAGCCCCUCCCUCUUCACAAACUCCUCCCUCUUCACAAACCCCAACUAUUAUUUCCCUCAAACUGAGUGACGUUUGGAGAAGGGAAGUGUGUGUGAAGACUCUCGGAUAAAAACACACUGAUGAACCCUAACCCUUAACCCUACAAUGUAUGAACCAAAAAAUGCUCCUUGGAUGAGUUUAUAGUCAAAUGGCAGGGGAUAUCUGGAAACGCACCAACAACUUAACGUCUACAUAAGACAAGAUAAGAAUACUCUGAACGAUGCUGGUCUUUGAGUUUGUGAUCUCUUCGCCCAUGGCUCUUCUUGUUGGUUGUGUGACUGGGGGAGAGAGAGAGAGAGAGAGAGAGAGAGAGAGAGAGAGAGAGAGCGAGCGAGCGCGCGCUGGCGUUCAGGGGAACAUGAAAAUAAUAAAUAAACCUGCGCCAGGAAUGCAAACUCGGAGAGCUGACAGUGCUACAAGAAAUAUGGAGAAAUACUCACAGAAAACACGUCUACAUCCGCGGCAGCCAUGAUCAGGAAUGUGUAGAGAAGGUGUUAUACCGGAGAUGGGCGUAAAGGAAGUCUCUCUCUCUCUUUCUCUCUCUUUCUCUCUCUCUCUAUCUGACACUGUCACUACCCGAGCACCACCGCGCAUGCGUACUGCGCACUAACGCCUAGGAUAUAUUGCGCAUGCGCUCCAGGAACCAGACGCUCAACCCCAGUAACAUGACUACUUCCUGUCUUCAUGGGAACUUCCUGUAUGUUUAUAUUGACUUUUAUUUCAAGGCAAAGCUUUAAGGUUUACUUUAUAGUGACUUAAUAAACAGUUUGUAUAUAUGUAUGUA